GACGAACGCUGGCGGCGUGCUUAACACAUGCAAGUCGAGCGGUAAGGCCCUUUCGGGGUACGACGAGCGGCGAACGGGUGAGUAACACGUGGGUGACCUGCCCUCAGCUCUGGGAUAAGCCUGGGAAACCGGGUCUAAUACUGGAUAUGACUCCAUGACGCAUGUUGGUGGGGUGGAAAGCCUUGUGCGGCUGAGGAUGGGCCCGCGGCCUAUCAGCUUGUUGGGUGGGGGUGAGGGCCUACCAAGGCGACGACGGGUAGCCGGCCUGAGAGGGCGACCGGCCACACUGGGACUGAGACACGGCCCAGACUCCUACGGGAGGCAGCAGUGGGGAAUCUUGCGCAAUGGACGAAAGCCUGACGCAGCGACGCCGCGUGAGGGAUGAC
rnacentral:rRNA from 1 species